rnacentral:rRNA from 1 species
GUGAGGAAUUUUCCGCAAUGGGCGAAAGCCUGACGGAGCAAUGCCGCGUGAAGGAUGAAGGCCUAUGGGUUGUAAACUUCUUUUCUCAGAAAAGAAUUAUGACGGUAUCUGAGGAAUAAGCAUCGGCUAACUCUGUGCCAGCAGCCGCGGUAAGACAGAGGAUGCAAGCGUUAUCCGGAAUGAUUGGGCGUAAAGCGUCUGUAGGUUGUUUAAAAAGUAUUCUGUCAAAGAUUAGGGCUUAACCCUAGAUAGGCAGAAUAAACUUUUAAGCUAGAGUUUGGUUGAGGCAGAGGGAAUUCCCGGUGGAGCGGUGAAAUGCGUAGAUAUCGGGAGGAACACCAAAGGCGAAGGCACUCUGCUGGGCCAAUACUAACACUGAGAGACGAAAGCGAGGGGAGCAAAUGGGAUUAGAUACCCUUGUAGUCC